rnacentral:rRNA from 1 species
AUUGAACGCUGGCGGCAUGCUUUACACAUGCAAGUCGAACGGUAACAGGCCUUCGGGUGCUGACGAGUGGCGAACGGGUGAGUAAUGCAUCGGAACGUGCCCAGAGGUGGGGGAUAACGCAGCGAAAGCUGUGCUAAUACCGCAUGUGAUCUGAGGAUGAAAGCGGGGGACCAGGCAGCAAUGUUUGGCCUCGCGCCUUUGGAGCGGCCGAUGUCAGAUUAGGUAGUUGGUGGGGUAAAGGCCUACCAAGCCGACGAUCUGUAGCUGGUCUGAGAGGACGACCAGCCACACUGGGACUGAGACACGGCCCAGACUCCUACGGGAGGCAGCAGUGGGGAAUUUUGGACAAUGGGCGCAAGGCUGAUCCAGCAAUGCCGCGUGCGGGAAGAAGGCCUUCGGGUUGUAAACCGCUUUUGUACGGAACGAAAAGGCUCUGGCUAAUACCUGGGGCUGAUGACGGUACCGGAAGAAUAAGCACCGGCUAACUACGUG